CACAUGGUGACACCUUAGGAGUGGAUAGGAGCAGACAUUUGAUCUGACGAAAAUCCAUGCUUUCCCUGGCUCAGUGGUAGCAGAUCCUGCCUAGUGGUACACAUGGGACCACUGUCUGCACACAACACUUUAAGAAACCUGGAGAAGAUACCGCAGUUUCUGUAGCAGGUUUUCAUUUCCUGUGUAGAAAUUUCUAUCACCUGGCAUCCAUGUCAGACGGAGAGAAAGAUCCCUGGUGUGCUACCC
rnacentral:lncRNA from 1 species